GUCCUCGCGGUUUGGCCCAUAAGUCCGUCUAUUGCCCAUUAAUUGGAAACGAAGCUCUUUUGUGGAUCUCCUGCACUUAUCCGGGUUUGGAAAUGGCAUUAAGGAUAUCUUCACCCGUCCACUUGGAGAAGAGUUACCAAAUUUCCAGAGCUUUUGCACAUCUGACCACCUAAGCCUAUAGACGAGCAUUCCUAUCCAAUACCACUUCUGCAGAGGACGUAUAGCCACUUGCGGGACAUCCCCCCAGCCCAUCAACAGAGCCCGCCCCAUGCUUCAAAAUGCACACAGCGCACCGUCACCUGCAAGUGGGCCUCCAACAACACAGCCAUGGUUGAAAACUACCUCAUGAUCUUGCCCUAAUGACCUGCAGCACUGGUCACAGGCCAGCCAAAUGUUCAACAGAGCCACAUUUUCUGUGAUGCCUCUAAGAAGGCCUACAGGUCUGUCUCAUACCCUAAGCAGAGGAUCAGGAGGGCCACAACAACAGACAGCAUGGCAUGGUAUGACCCCAGUCGCCCUGGAUGACAACGCUGAGAGAUGGAUACAAGAUUAACAUCUACAACAGAUCGUCCCAGAUCAAAUGGACUAUGAAACCCUGUUGAAGCUGUGGUAUAGCAGAGGUUUUGGCUCGCAGCCAGCAAGGUCUACUCCUCUGGCGCGACACAAGACAGGAAGCUGACAUAAAAGAAUGGAGGGGACCGUCUGUGAGGGACUCAGGAGCCAAGGCAGGAGUCAAGACAGAAGCCACUGACGAGGUCGGAAGUUAUUGUUUCAGCUUACAGGCAUCAACGGUGACAAGAAUCUUAUCCCUCUAUUGAACAUAUUGUGAUCCCAUGGUGAUUGCCCCAAGUAUGGAAAACAUUCCAGGACAGGAACUUCAUCACCAGAGUUUCUCCCUGCUCAAAUGUUGUCAUUUGGCCUGUGAGCAAAGCAUUAAACCCCCGUAAAUACACCAGUGGAGUGACUUGCUGGCCAAAACACAGCAAUGCAUUUGCGAAAAAGAAGACAACAGCUCCAAACAACUACCAGACUGCACUGUAAAGGAUCACAGACCUCCCAUCAGGAAUGUGAAGUUAACCUGAUCACAAACGGCUAUCAAUUGCUCAAGAAACACGUUGGGACUUUUGCCCCAGAAUAGGAACCACUAGACCACUUUUGAAGAGCACACACCUCAGAGAAGGAAAGACUGACCCAUGCUUGGUGAUAAACUUGUAACUCGGAGUGGAGAGGGGGUCAGACUUCAGCGUAGCAACGCAGGAGUCGACAUAUAGAAGAAGAGG